rnacentral:rRNA from 1 species
CAAUAGCGUAUAUUUAAGUUGUUGCAGUUAGAAAGCUCGUAGUUGGAUUUCUGGUGGGAGCGAUCGGUCUGGCGCUUAGCGCGAGUACUUGCAUCGUCUCCGGCCAUCCUUGGGGAGAGUCUGUCUGGCAUUAGGUUGUCGGGCAGAGGAUCCUCAUCGUUUACUGUGAAAAAAUUAGAGUGUUCAAAGCAGGCUUAUGCCGUUGAAUAUAUUAGCAUGGAAUAAUAAGAUAGGACUUUGGUACUAUUUUGUUGGUUUGCGCACCAAAGUAAUGAUUAAUAGGGACAGUUGGGGGUAUUCGUAUUCCGUUGUCAGAGGUGAAAUUCUUGGAUUUACGGAAGACGAACUACUGCGAAAGCAUUUACCAAGGAUGUUUUCAUUAA